GCGACAAGCGGUGGAGCAUGUGGUUUAAUUCGACGCUAACGCGAAGAACCUUACCAGGUCUUGACAUCCCUUGACAGCUCAGAGAUGAGUGUUCUGACUUCGGUUAGACAAGGAGACAGGUGGUGCAUGGUUGUCGUCAGCUCGUGUCGUGAGAUGUUGGGUUAAGUCCCGCAACGAGCGCAACCCUUAUUCUUAGUUGCCAGCACUAACGGCGGGCACUCUAAGGAGACUGCCGGUGACAAACCGGAGGAAGGUGGGGAUGACGUCAAAUCAUCAUGCCCUUUAUGACCUGGGCUACACACGUGCUACAAUGGCCUAUACAAAGGGUAGCGAAGCUGUGAGGUGGAAGCCAAUCCCAAAAAGUAGGUCUCAGUUCGGAUUGUAGGCUGCAACUCGCCUACAUGAAGUCGGAAUCGCUAGUAAUCGCGGAUCAGCAUGCCGCGGUGAAUACGUUCCCGGGCCUU
rnacentral:rRNA from 1 species